GGGUGAGUAACACGUAAACAACCUGCCUUCAGGAUGGGGACAACAGACGGAAACGACUGCUAAUACCGAAUACGCUUGGGAGACCGCAUGAUCUUCCAAGGAAAGGGUGGCCUCUACCUGUAAGCUAUCGCCUGAAGAGGGGUUUGCGUCUGAUUAGGCAGUUGGCGAGGUAACGGCCCACCAAACCUACGAUCAGUAGCCGGUCUGAAAGGAUGAACGGCCACACUGGAACUGAGACACGGUCCAGACUCCUACGGGAGGCAGCAGUGGGGAAUCUUCCGCAAUGGGCGAAAGCCUGACGGAGCAACGCCGCGUGAGUGAUGACGGCCUUCGGGUUGUAAAGCUCUGUGAUCGGGGACGAACGGUCCGUAAGUCAAUACCUUAUGGAAGUGACGGUACCCGAAUAGCAAGCCACGGCUAACUACGUGCCAGCAGCCGCGGUAAUACGUAGGUGGCAAGCGUUGUCCGGAUUAUUGGGCGUAAAGCGCGCGCA
rnacentral:rRNA from 1 species